rnacentral:rRNA from 1 species
GAGUUUGAUCUUGGCUCAGAUUGAACGCUGGCGGCAUGCCUUACACAUGCAAGUCGAACGGUAACAGGUCUUCGGAUGCUGACGAGUGGCGAACGGGUGAGUAAUACAUCGGAACGUGCCCGAUCGUGGGGGAUAACGGAGCGAAAGCUUUGCUAAUACCGCAUACGAUCUACGGAUGAAAGCAGGGGACCGCAAGGCCUUGCGCGGACGGAGCGGCCGAUGGCAGAUUAGGUAGUUGGUGGGAUAAAAAGCUUACCAAGCCGACGAUCUGUAGCUGGUCUGAGAGGACGACCGAGCCACACUGGGACUGAGACACGGCCCAGACUCCUACGGGAGGCAGCAGUGGGGAAUUUUGGACAAUGGGCGAAAGCCUGAUCCAGCCAUGCCGCGUGCAGGAUGAAGGCCUCGG